UGGGGAAUUUUCCGCAAUGGGCGAAAGCCUGACGGAGCAAUGCCGCGUGGAGGUGGAAGGCCUACGGGUCGUCAACUUCUUUUCUCGGAGAAGAAACAAUGACGGUAUCUGAGGAAUAAGCAUCGGCUACCUCUGUGCCAG
rnacentral:rRNA from 1 species